UACAUAAAGACUAUACCCUCUAUCAUUUAGGGUUUGUGUGAUUAAAGGAAAAAAGGUCAAGAGGGAGAAAUCAAUUUAUCAUGUAUUAUUUGUGUUCUUCGUCAAAGCUUAAUGCUCAACUCCAAUUCCACAUGAGGUAUUUCUUGAUUUUUAUGAAAUUCAUAUUAUUCUAAAUAUCAUAAAAUCAUUAUUCAUGCAAUAUGAGGGAUUUGAUUUUCAUAUUACAUAGAUCUUAAUAGAAGUUUACUAGGGGACGUCAGUUGAUUCCGUUGGCAACUCUACACUAGUUGAAUGAAAGGAUGUUGUGGUUUUGCUAUUAAAAUCAGGGGUAUUUGGGAUUUUUCACAACUAUAAAUAAUUGAAGUUAGAUCAGAUUUAAGGAGUCUCUUAGAUCUUUUAGUUGAGAAAGUAGUUAAGAACGGUUAUUCAAACAUCCUCUGCAGCUUUUCUUUGAGAUGUCUUUAGAUAUUUGUAACCAGGAGAAUUUCAUUUGUAAUUCUCUUUAGAUUCCUUAGUUUCUAGUUAUUGUAAGCGGAAUUGAAGCUCCAUGAUAAUGAGAAACACUUAGGCAAGUGAAGAUAUCAAGCUUCAAGAUUGAAGACCGAGCUCAUCUUUAGACAUUGAAAAUUUGUUAACUCUUUCUCUAUUUUGUAGUUUGAAUAGUGUUUUAAUAAUGAAAUGUACACUUGCUUUCCUUGUGUUUCAAUUAUGAGCUACUUUUAUCACAGGUUAAUCGGUUGCUGAGGACCGACUCUCAUAAUACUUUCAUUUAAACACAAGAAAUUAUUUAAUUGUAAUUAUUUAUUUUGCAAUGAUGUCAUACACUUUUGAUUGGUAACUAAUCUAAUUUUGGUUUUCAAAUGAAACUACUCGUAACUGAUUUUUGAAGCAAAAAUCGUAAGUGCCAAAAACCUGCCAUGCAGCAUGUUCGAUUUUAGUCUAGUUUAAGGUUUUUCUUUUUUUUAAUCUGUCGAUGCUAUUGAAUCAGACUUUGUAAGUUGGACUGUGGUGAAAUGAAGUACUUCAUUCUGAAUGAGGAAAAAAGAAAGCUUCGAUUCCUUUUAGGUCUUAUGAUUGGAUCUAGCAAGCAUCAUCGAUAGCAUUGUAUAAAGGGCUCAUAUACUUUAAACUACAAUGUUACUUUCAUGCUGGUUCACGCGUUUUGGAUCUCAAAGCCCUACCACAUUGUUCGAUAAGCCUCUUUAAAGUCAUCCCCCACCACCCAAUAAGUUGAACCACGGUCCAAGAUUAUUGUUCUUGAUUAAAGUUUCUUGUAAACCUUUUAGCACCAAAACUUACACUUUGUGGGGUUCAAAUAUUGGUAAAUUUAUCCCGCCGUCCCCAAGUCCAAAGGAAUGAAGAAAGAAAAUUUAUUAAUGUUACAUCAAUCCUAGGUCUAAUCUAAAAUAAUUUGAUUUUAAGUUUACGAUUUACAUUAUAGUAAUUCCUUUGGACUGUGAGAAAAUAAUUAAAAUUUUGUCCAAUUCAUUCAUACAACCACUCUUAAAAAGUGAUAUUAUACAAAUUUUUAUUCGAAUCUAAAUGGGUAAAUGUGACCAG
rnacentral:lncRNA from 1 species